rnacentral:rRNA from 1 species
AUUGAACGCUGGCGGAAUGCUUUACACAUGCAAGUCGAACGGCAGCACGGACUUCGGUCUGGUGGCGAGUGGCGAACGGGUGAGUAAUACAUCGGAACGUGCCCAAUCGUGGGGGAUAACGUAGCGAAAGCUACGCUAAUACCGCAUACGAUCUAAGGAUGAAAGCGGGGGAUCGCAAGACCUCGCGCGAUUGGAGCGGCCGAUGGCAGAUUAGGUAGUUGGUAGGGUAAAGGCCUACCAAGCCGACGAUCUGUAGCUGGUCUGAGAGGAUGAUCGGCCACACUGGGACUGAGACACGGCCCAGACUCCUACGGGAGGCAGCAGUGGGGAAUUUUGGAAAAUGGACGGAAGUCUGAUCCAGCCAUUCCGCGUGCAGGAUGAAGGCCCUCGGGUUGUAAACUGCUUUUGUACAGAACGAAAAGGCUCUGGUUAAUACCUAGGGCUCAUGACGGUACUGUAAGAAUAAGCACCGGCUAACUACGUGCCAGCCGCCGCCGUAA